UGAGCAAGCCGGGCAGUUGCGGGCGCGAGGCGAAAGCGCGCGUCUGAGGAAAGUCCGAGCUCCACAGGGCAAGGAUAACGGCUAACAGCCGCCGGGGGCGACCCUAGGGAUAGUGCAACAGAGAUAUACCGCCGGAGAUGGGCCCUGGGCCAAUCUCUCAGGCAAGGGUGGAAAGGCGAGGUAAGAGCUCACCGGCGCGCGGGAGACCGCGCGGCCCUGUAAACCCUAUCCGGAGCAACACCGUGGUAUCGGGACAGGCGGUUUCACCGCCGGCGUGGCCCGCGCGUUCCGUGGAGGUGGCGUGAGCCUGCUGGCAACGGCAGGCCAAGAUAGAUGACUGCUCAAGACAGAACUCGGCUUACAGACUUGGUCACAGA
rnacentral:RNase_P_RNA from 1 species